GGUAAUGCCGGAUGCUCCAGUUGAUCGCAUGGUCUUCUGGGAAAGCUUUCGCGGUAUGGGAUGGGGUCGCGUCCUAUCAGCUUGACGGCGGGGUAACGGCCCACCGUGGCUUCGACGGGUAGCCGGCCUGAGAGGGCGACCGGCCACAUUGGGACUGAGAUACGGCCCAGACUCCUACGGGAGGCAGCAGUGGGGAAUAUUGCACAAUGGGCGCAAGCCUGAUGCAGCGACGCCGCGUGAGGGAUGGAGGCCUUCGGGUUGUAAACCUCUUUUAUCGGGGAGCAAGCGAGAGUGAGUUUACCCGUUGAAUAAGCACCGGCUAACUACGUGCCAGCAGCCGCGGUAAUACGUAGGGUGCAAGCGUUAUCCGGAAUUAUUGGGCGUAAAGGGCUCGUAGGCGGUUCGUCGCGUCCGGUGUGAAAGUCCAUCGCUUAACGGUGGAUCCGCGCCGGGUACGGGCGGGCUUGAGUGCGGUAGGGGAGACUGGAAUUCCCGGUGUAACGGUGGAAUGUGUAGAUAU
rnacentral:rRNA from 2 species